rnacentral:rRNA from 1 species
UACGAAGGGUGCAAACGUUGCUCGGAAUUAUUGGGCGUAAAGCGCACGUAGGCGGCUUUGCAAGUCGGAUGUGAAAUCCCUCGGCUUAACCGAGGAACUGCGCUUGAAACUACUGGACUCGAGGGAGAUAGAGGAAAGCGGAACUGAUGGUGGAGCGGUGAAAUGCGUUGAUAUCAUCAGGAACACCGGUGGCGAAGGCGGCUUUCUGGGCAACAACUGACGCUGAGGAGCGAAAGCGUGGGGAGCGAACAGG